CUCAGCGUGUCGUUUCUGUCUGCAGACAUGAGGACGUGUCGUGUUAACGAGUUCAGCUGCGGCCCGGGAACCACGCUUUGCAUCCCCAUCUUCUGGAAAUGUGACGGAGAGAAGGACUGCGACAAAGGAGAGGAUGAAGUCAACUGUGGUAACGUCACCUGYGCUCUGAACGAGUUCACCUGCGCCAGCGGCCGCUGCGUCUCCAGGAACUUUGUGUGCAACGGCGAGGACGACUGCGGCGACGGCUCGGACGAGGUGGACUGCGCGCCGUCGUCCUGCGCUCCCAACGAGUUCCAGUGUGGGAACGCGUCCUGCAUCCCGGCCAACUGGGUGUGUGACGACGACGUCGACUGUCAGGACCAGUCAGAUGAAGCUCCGGCUCGGUGCGGCCGCCACCCGACGCCGCCCGCCAAGUGUUUGCCCAGCGAGAUGCAGUGCAGCUCUGGAGAAUGCRUCCACAAGAAGUGGAGAUGUGACGGCGACCCCGACUGCAAGGACGGCAGCGACGAGGCAAACUGUCCUGCRCGGAGUUGUGACCCGGAUAAGUUUAAAUGUGACGAUGGAAGCUGCAUCCAGGGAAGCAGACAGUGUAACGGCUACAGAGACUGUGACGACGGAUCAGAUGAAAUGAACUGCAGGAACCUGACUCAGUGCAACGGGCCAGAGAAGUUCAAGUGUCGCAGCGGAGAAUGUAUCGAAAUGAGCAAAGUGUGCAACAAGAUCAGAGACUGUCCAGACUGGAGCGACGAGCCGAUCAACGAGUGCAACGUGAACGAGUGUCUCCUGAACAACGGCGGCUGCUCCCACAUCUGCAAAGACAUGGUGAUUGGCUUCGAAUGCGACUGCACACCUGGACUGCAGCUCAUCGACCACAAGACCUGCGGAGACAUCAAUGAGUGCAUGAAUCCUGGUAUCUGCAGUCAGAUCUGCAUCAACCUGAAGGGCGGCUACAAGUGUGAAUGUCAUAACGGCUACCAGAUGGAUCCGGCUACCAGCGUCUGCAAGGCUGUUGGUAAGGAGCCGUGCCUGAUCUUCACCAACCGCCGUGAUAUUCGCCGUCUGGGUCUGGAGAGGAAGGAGUACACACAGAUUGUAGAGCAGCAGAGAAACGCAGCGGCUCUGGAUGCAGAUUUCAACCAGCAGACUAUCUUCUGGGCCGACCUGGGACAGAGGGCCAUUUACAGCACCGUCCUGGACAGGCGAGGCGACGUCGGUGUCCAUAAGAAGGUGAUCGAUAACGUCCAGACUCCUCUGGGCAUCGCUGUGGACUGGAUCUAUAACAACCUGUACUGGUCCGAUCUGGGAGCCAAAACCAUUUCUGUGGCGAACUUUAACGGAACCAAACGGAAAGUUCUGUUYAACACGGGCCUGAGRGAACCYGCCUCCAUCGCYGUGGAUCCUUUAUCUGGGUUUCUGUACUGGUCUGACUGGGGAGAGCCRGCUAAGAUCGAGAAGUCUGGAAUGAACGGAGCGGACCGGCAGGUUCUGGUGGCCACUGACAUCCAGUGGCCCAACGGGAUCACACUGGAUCUGAUCAAAGGUCGGCUCUACUGGGUCGACUCCAAGCUGCACAUGCUCAGUAGCGUCGACCUGAACGGAGACAACAGGAACAAAGUGCUGCAGUCUGCAGAUUAUCUGGUUCAUCCAUUYGCCGUCACCGUGUUCGAGGAUCGGGUUUUCUGGACCGACGGUGAAAACAAGGCCAUCUACGGGGCCAACAAGUUCUCUGGUUCUGAUGUCGUCACGCUGGCCAGCAACCUGAACGACCCUCAGGACGUCAUCGUCUACCAUGAGCUGAUCCAGCUGGCCGGAACCAACUGGUGCACAGAGAGAAGUGAGAACGGCGGCUGCAGCUUCUUGUGUCUUCCUGCUCCACAGAUCAACAAACACUCCCCCAAGUACAGCUGUGUGUGUCCUGCAGGCCAGGAGCUGGCAGCAGACGGYCAGCGCUGCAGACCUGAAGCCAAUGUGAGCACGUCUAUCCAGGUGGACUCCACAGCCAGAGGCUCUGCUGCUGCCUGGGCCGUCCUACCCGUCUUGCUGCUGGCCAUGGCCGGAGCCGGCGCCUACCUGAUGUGGAGGAACUGGCAGCUGAAGAACCAGAAGAGCAUGAACUUCGACAACCCAGUCUACCUGAAAACCACAGAAGAAGACCUCAACAUCGACAUCACGCGCCACGGCGCCAACGUGGGCCACACCUACCCAGCGAUUUCAAUCGUGAGCACAGACGAUGAUUUAUCCUGAUCAGGAUUUGGGUUUUUGUUGUCCUCCUCCAUGUUUCCAUGCCAACGGUUCACCGUAACAGUUCAACCACAAGCCUUCAAAAGUGCAUUAAGUCCUGAUCUGUGUUGAAGAGGAAAUGUUAUUUAUCAUGUGAAAACUUCCAGGAGUUUUUCCACCUUCACUCCAAAGUGUUGAGGAUUUUCCUUUUCCUCGUCUCUGUCCGGCUGUCCAGAGAUCAGUUUCCUCUCUGAGGGUCUUUCUGUGUCCAGCCUGGACUGAAGAACUGAGUCUUCAUCAAACYGUUUCCUGGUUCUGAUUUAAACCGGGUCAAAGUUCUCAGGUCUUAACAGGAACCAAGUCUGGAGACUAAAAGACGAAUAUUUAAUUAUGAAAUGGGAUGUUAAUAUUUCUGAUCAUGCUUUGUGGCUAAUAUUAGGGUUUCUUCUGUUUACCGCAUUAUUAUUGCUGCUGCUGAGGUCGCCAUGGUUACAGUGUAAAUAUAUUUCCUCCCUCAGAUGUGACUGUAAAUCAGGACUCUGUUAAAUGCACUUUGAUCAUGUUCUCUGUAAAUAAGAUUGUAUAAAGUGACUUGAAUCCGUUUCUUUUGCUCUGGCCGGUUUCCUCACCAGAGUUCAGAUUUAUUUAAGGACCAGAGGAGGAAAAACAUGAAUUUGGUAAAAAUGACUAUUUUGUAUGUUUGUGCUGUUGCUGUGAACUUUUUUAUAGCCUUGUACAGUGAAGGAGGAUGAAAUGAUCUGUAACUGAAGGAACUGAUUACGAAGACAUUUUGAAAUAAAACAAUCAGUGUUAAAUC